rnacentral:rRNA from 1 species
AGGGAAUCUUCCACAAUGGACGCAAGUCUGAUGGAGCAACGCCGCGUGAGUGAAGAAGGUCUUCGGAUCGUAAAAGCUCUGUUGUUGGUGAAGAAGGAUAGAGGCAGUAACUGGUCUUUAUUUGACGGUAAUCAACCAGAAAGUCACGGCUAACUACGUGCCAGCAGCCGCGGUAAUACGUAGGUGGCAAGCGUUGUCCGGAUUUAUUGGGCGUAAAGCGAGCGCAGGCGGAAUG